rnacentral:rRNA from 1 species
UACGUAGGGUGCGAGCGUUAAUCGGAAUUACUGGGCGUAAAGCGUGCGCAGGCGGUUCGUUGUGUCGGCGGUGAAAUCCCCGGGCUCAACCUGGGAAUGGCCGUUGAAACUGGCGAACUGGAGUGUGGCAGAGGGGGGUGGAAUUCCGCGUGUAGCAGUGAAAUGCGUAGAGAUGCGGAGGAAUACCGAUGGCGAAGGCAGCCCCCUGGGCUGACACUGACGCUCAGGCACGAAAGCGUGGGGAGCAAACAGG